CAGGAUUAAUGUGAGGGAUAAUGGGCCAUCAUCUGCAUCUUUAUACUUUAGUAAGCUAGCAAGCAUCUAAUAUUUAUGAAAUUAUAAAUACGUGUUUGUAUAUAAUCUCAUACCCCUUCUUAGGCUGAAGGAAAUAGAAGAACGGCUGCAUGGAUUGAAAGCAUCAUCUAUGACACAAACACCUGCCUUAAGAUUUAAGGUUGAGAAUUUCUUCUGUAUGGGAUCCCCAUUAGCAGUUUUCUUGGCUUUGCGUGGCAUCCGCCCAGGAAAUACUGGAAGUCAAGACCAUAUUUUGCCUAGAGAGAUUUGUAACCGGUUACUAAAUAUUUUUCAUCCUACAGAUCCAGUGGCUUAUAGAUUAGAACCAUUAAUACUGAAACACUACAGCAACAUUUCACCUGUCCAGAUCCACUGGUACAAUACUUCAAAUCCUCUACCUUAUGAACAUAUGAAGCCAAGCUUUCUCAACCCAGCUAAAGAACCUACCUCAAUUUCAGAGAAUGAAGGCAUUUCAACCAUACCAAGCCCUGUGACCUCACCAGUCUUGUCCCGCCGACACUAUGGAGAAUCUAUAACAAAUAUAGGCAAAGCAAGCAUAUUAGGGGCUGCUAGCAUUGGAAAGGGACUUGGAGGAAUGUUGUUCUCAAGAUUUGGACGUUCAUCUACAACACAGUCAUCUGAAACAUCAAAAGACUCAAUGGAAGAUGAGAAGAAGCCAGUUGCCUCACCUUCUGCUACCACCGUAGGGACACAGACCCUUCCACAUAGCAGUUCUGGCUUCCUUGAUUCUGCAUGUUAGUUCAUACAUUAUUUCCUUAAGUUUAUACUGUAUCUUUUUAAAACUUGGGGAGGGCAGGGAGGUAUAAGAUAUUAAUACUAGCUAGUCAACUCUAAGAUCUAAAGUGUGCCUUAACUUUGAAAGAAAAAAAAUGCUUUCCUUCUGCUUAUAUUUUUAAGAAUAAUUUCCAGGAAAAUGCAGUUUUAUUUUCUGCAUUGAUGAAUUAAUAGAAUAUUAAUAAUUAGGGCCUUGUGGCACAGGGUCUUAAACAUCAAGCAUAAAACAAAUCUCUUUAGGGUAAGUACCCCCUGAAGUUUAUAAAGUAGAUUUUUACUAAUGUGAUCUUCUCAGUCUCAAAAAUCAUGUAAUUAUUGCUUUAGACCUGUGCUGUAUCUGGUCUUGAGACUUGAAAAACUGCUAUACCCAAAGUCAUCCUACUUCUAUUCAAAGCUUAGAAAUUUUAUUGGAUCUGCUGAAUGGCUUCCAAUUCUAUCCCAGCUACCUAGUGUAAAGCAGAUAUUGAAAAAAUGAGUAAAUAAAUGGAUAGUUAUAUUGGACUUAGCAUUAUAUGGAUCUUUAUUUAAGCUUUCUCUGGUGGACUUAGGAAGUUUGAAAUGUUGAGUAGUUGUGAAACACUAAUACACUUAGUAUAUAUUUACUUCCAAGAGUCUGAACUUGAACAUUAUUUUUAGGUGUCCAGUAAAAUAAAACUAAAACAUCAAGUCCUAAUUUUUUCAUCGACACCUAUAAAGAAAUAUAAAUUCUGAAACUAGCUACUCCUUUUCUGGAACUAUAGCAGGGAGAAAACUUUUCUUUCUCUAGAAAUUUUUAAACAGAUUUUAUUUGUUACUUAUAGUGUUGUGUUGUUACUGUGUCUGCUACUCUAAAUUGUAAAAUGAUGGCAUUCAUUGCCAUCCAUCCUUAGAAAGUUCAGGUGUGACACUCCUAGAGGCUGAAUAAUUCUUCCACAGUCAACUCCACUCCAGGAUAAAUUAUUAAUAGGGUUGAACGUUCCUACUUGGGCCAACAGCAUUUUUAAUUUAAUUAUAUCUGUGCCAGACUCUGGACACUGAAAAUUUUAUAAGUGCGAGUCUGGAAACUUCUUUUUUAGACUUUGAUAUUUGCAUUAAAUAUAUUUUACUUUUCCUAUAAGAGUUCUCAUACUAUUUCUGACUUGUUUCCUUUUCUACUUAAUAUCAAAAAUGUGAUUGUGAAAAUACAAAAUUCUGUUGUGACAUGCAGAUGUCAAGAAAACUCUAACUCCUGAGGAAAAUUAAUUUCAAAGAAUUUUGUAAGGUAGCAGGUAAAAAGUCAUGGUUCUCUGUAAUGGCAUUAAUGCGCAACAGUAGUGCUAGUAAACAUUAGAGUGAGUGAGAGAGCAAGAAGAGCAGGGUAGGGUUUAACCCCCUAGAAAAAGGGUAAUGAAAACGUAUGUAUAGAAUCUACAGGCUCUGAGGGAAUAAAACUUUUUUAGUUUUUUUUUUUCUGUUUAACAUAGUAAUUUCAAAAUAAUAGAGAAACCCCUAGUUUUUUCUUCCAGAACAGCAGUUAGUAGAGGUGCAUAGCUGUAUUGCAUCUUUUUAUUUUGAGAGCUUAACAAAAUACUAUGUCAUUCUUACACAUAAAUUCUUUGAUAGUCCAAAUGGUAAAUUUGUCAACAAGACUCAAUAUGAGGUAAUUAUGAGUCUUACACAUAUUCACAUAUUACACAUAUAUUAUACAUAUUACACAUAUAUUAUACAUAUUACACAUAUUCACCUCUAGAUAUAGAUAUAACUAUUAAAAUUGGACUAUUAUAAUAAGAUUCUGCCUUUUAAAUCUUAUUCCCAAGAUUUGCUUUACUAAUUAUUUGGCUUGCUUCAAUAACGUAAUCUGUGUAAUCGUCAUAAUUUCUUGUCGUAAGUGCUGUCUUGGCUAUAUCAUGCAAAUCAUAAAACUUUUCUUCAUUAAAUCUUCUUUCUG
rnacentral:sRNA from 1 species